AAACCGUACUUCUAUCAAACUUGACUACUACUACAUCUGAAAUUAUCAUCAAGAUGCUCACUUCGUGGCAAAGCAUACAUAAGUGUAUUUUUUUUUUGUUGUGUUUGCAAGUCCCAGAUGAGCAAAAACUAAAUUGUGCUCCUGAUGAAGACGUGGGGCUCUUGUCUUCUCUGUCCUGGGCUUCAGAUGUUGCUUAACUGGUAUCGCGUACCUUUCGCCUGCGGUUCUGCUCAAGUACCGUUCCUUUCUGUCUUUAUGUGAGAGGCAAUGCGGAUUUCCAAGCAGUGGACACAUCAACUUGAGUUGCUGGGAGACCCUGCUUUUUGUUUUCUUUCGUUUGUUUUUUUGUUUUUCAAGAAGAUGACUGGGUUAGGAAAACGUCGAACUGAGGAAGACGCUUUGUACUUUGCUACCGUCCCGUUUUUACCCAGUGACUGCCAUCAUUCCCAGCCUUUUCUGUUGGUGCGAGACCAAUAUGCUCUUCCAAGACUAGGAACAUCAGAAAAUCAGAAAAUUCAUUUGCAGUUUAACGAAAGGGUUGGACUAAAAUCUCCUCAACCUUCUAGGAUCUACUUCCAAUUUGAUCUUGUUCUUGUCAUGUCCUUCAAAAAUUUUAGUAUUGCUAUGUGACAGUAUCUAAUGAAGUUAAAAAAUCUUUUCAAAUGAUUCUGGAAUUCUUAGCAUUAUGGUUAACAGGGAGAGCACCUGUCUUGGGAGAAAUGGACCUACACCUCUGAGCACACAUUAUAAACUACGUUAUUUACAAAUGUCCUAAUUUAAUCUUCCAACAUUAAGAAGGAACAAAAUUCAGAGAUUAAUUUUUUCAAGGCUUCACACAUACUUAGUCCUGUUAUAAGGUUCAUUAUUUUUCUACUAUGCUACCUCUUAAGAAAUUUCUGUAUUAAAGUAAAAAACAGAAGUGUAGGUAAUGCCAAAAGCUUUACAAAUGGAUUUAAGUGUGUUUACAUCCUCAAAUCAAAAUCCCUAUAGUGAAACCUAUGAAGGGUACAGCGAUUAGAUGAUGAAGUUAAAGACUUAAUUUCAUCCGUCUGUUUAAUUUUACUCUGAAUCACAUGUCUUAAAAUAGCUCUGGGAGCCUGCGCUGUGGCACCCGCAUCCUAUAUGGACACCAGUUCAUGUCCCAGAUGCUCCACUUCUAAUCCAGGUCCCUGCUAAUGUGCCUGGGAAAGCAGCAGCAGAUGGCCCAAUGCUUUGGGCCCCUGCACCCCCUUGAGACCUGGAAGCAGCUCCUGGCUCCUGGCUUUGAACCAUCCCAGCUCUGGCUGUUGCAGCAGCCAAUUGGGGGUGUGAACCUGCGGAUGGAAGAUGUCUCUCCCUAACUCUGCCUUUCAAAUAAAUCAAUCUUAAAACACA
rnacentral:lncRNA from 1 species